rnacentral:lncRNA from 1 species
CAACCCUUCCAACACAGGGCUGUUGGCGGGGACACAGGGGACGUUCACAAGUGACACAGGCUUUUUUGCACAGUUCCCCAGUCUAGAGAGCAGAGUUUUCAGCAGCACUGCCCUUCUUGUUCUCAGGCGCCGUUACAAAUAUGUUGUGACCCAGCAACAGCCCUGUGAGGGUUGGGAGACCGGCCUGUGGGACACAGCGCGUGAUGUGAUGCCUUCUCCUCUGGCACUGAUCCUCGGGGAAAUAACCCUUUGUCACCACUAGCAGAAGGCUGAGCAGAGCGCCUCCAACCACAAAUCUCUUCGCUUUGCUGGAUGGAAAAUUUCUCCACCCACCUGAUGAAUAACCACAGAUGAAGCCCUGGUGCGCUAGUGACUUUCCAUGGACACAUGUGAAGCUGAUGAACUGUGGAGCUUUUUUAGUUUGUAGGAGGGAAACUGAGGCACGUGCUCGCUGCGCAUCCGGCAAAAGCAUGUCGAUAACCAGUAAUGAGAGAGGAGUGCUCCGUCUGUUCAGACUAUUCAGCUCUUUGCACGGCUGCCCACGUGGCCAGGGAGAAGAAAUGGAGUCAAAUAAGCACGCAAUGGCAAUGCAGUUAAAAAAGAACCAUGGCCUGGGUUUCUUCCACCAAUAAAAAGUUGUGCAAGCUUCAAUUUCCCUUUCAUUUUCAUGAAGAACAUGCUGGAGACAUCUAUUCAGCCAAAGAAGUGAAAUUAAAACAAAGAAACGAAAACAUCUUGAAAGGGGGGAAGAAGGCACUUUCCCAGCUUAUGCGUUAAUUAAGACCAGCCAAAGCCAACGGCUUCAAAAGGAAGGAGGAAGCCAGCAGUAAGCACGGCUGCAACUGCUUUUAAUGGGCUCUAGCAAUGGCAUGCAUGCCAGACAAAGCCAUAGCAGGCUUUAAUGCA